rnacentral:rRNA from 1 species
GACGAACGCUGGCGGCGUGCUUAACACAUGCAAGUCGAACGGAAAGGCCUGCUUUCCCUUGUGGAUUGCGGGUACUCGAGUGGCGAACGGGUGAGUAACACGUGAGUGAUCUGCCCCCAACUUGGGUAUAAGCCUGGGAAACUGGGUCUAAUUCCCGAUAGGACUGCAGGGUGGUGCCUGUGGUGGAAAACGAUUUUCUAGUGGUUGGGGAUGAGCUCGCGGCCUAUCAGCUUGUUGGUGGGGUAAUGGCCGACCAAGGCGGCGACGGGUAGCCGGCCUGGGAGGGGGGACAGCGACAUUGGGACUGGGAUACGGCCCAGACGCCUACGGGAGGCAGCAGUGGGGAAUAUUGCACAAUGGGCGGAAGCCUGAUGCAGCGACGCCGCGUGGGAGAUGACGGCCUUCGGGUUGUAAACUCCUUUCGACCGCGAGGAAGCCACCUGGUUGGAAGGGUGGUGACGGUAGUGGUAGAAGAAGCACCGGCUAACUACGUG